rnacentral:rRNA from 1 species
GUAGGUGGCAAGCGUUGUCCGGAAUUAUUGGGCGUAAAGCGCGCGCAGGCGGUCCUUUAAGUCUGAUGUGAAAGCCCGCGGCUCAACCGUGGAGGGUCAUUGGAAACUGGGGGACUUGAGUACAGAAGAGGAAAGCGGAAUUCCAAGUGUAGCGGUGAAAUGCGUAGAGAUUUGGAGGAACACCAGUGGCGAAGGCGGCUCUCUGGUCUGUAACUGACGCUGAGGCGCGAAAGCGUGGGGAGCAAACAGGGAUUAGAUACCCUGGUAGUCCACGCCGUAAACGAUGAGUGCUAAGUGUUAGGGGGGUUUCCGCCCCCUUAGUGCUGCAGCUAACGCAUUAAGCACUCCGCCUGGGGAGUACGGCCGCAAGGCUG